UAAUUUCCACUUCAGGGCCACCAUAAAGGCAAUGGACUCAUAUUUCUUCCAAAGAUUCAGCGAGACAUACAAUGAGGGCCAGAUGCUUGCGGUGGAAAGCUUUAAAAUGCUCUUGGUACAUCACACAGUCUGAAAAAACAUCAGGAGUGGCACAAAGUCGCCCUGGUUUCUACUGUUUUCUCUUUCAAAAAUCUUUGAAAUGCGCCCAACUGCAUUUAACCUCUGAACUGCAUGUUUGCAGCUCUACAAAACAGGUAAUGCUGCCUAUUUGGAGAAGACAUUCUCCCAACUGUAGGAGAACCUCAGAUGUCAUUCUGGAUCCAGAACCAUGGUGGUCCAUAAAAUCUCCACUAGACUCUCCGUCCAUUCAUCGCUUAAUCCAAACCUUCAGAAAUGACGAUGCUUGGCCAGUAAUUUUCCUGUUUCACAUAAUUGGUUUUACCUGUUGACUCUGUCUGCGUCUAUUUCAUGAUUUACUCUCCAAUAUGUUCAAUCUCAUAAUAUGAUAAUUAAUUUCACUCCCAUACCAGAUGGUGUUCUUUUUUCCCCUAAUUGAACCUCAGAGGAAAGCAGACAAAGGGAGCCUUAAUGGUUUUUGAUGUUUCCUCAUGAAGGAAACUAAUAAACAUACACUUAAGGAUUAAUGAAGGUGUAAAUUUCAGAAGGAAAACUUGAUAUUGGCGGGCUUUAAAAAUAUCAAACCUGAUAUUUGCAUCUACUUUAAAGUUCCCGUCAUUUCAUUUCAAUUCUGCAUCAAAAAGAAUAGAUUCCUCCCGCCGCUUCCUCUGAGCCAACAUGGUAAACAGUAAAGGUACAAUUCUAAUUUCGUGAGGAAGCAUGCGCUCUGGUCUAAUCACGUGGUUUUGUGAAUGAAAAGACAGCGCUGCCAUAGUUAUUUUCGGGGAGAGAAGCGAUGGUAAAGCGGGAGAGGGGCCUCAGCAUUGAGACUGCAGCACGGCGCGCAGUGACGCGCUGCAUCCACUGGGGGAGGACCGAGCACCGCCUGCGCGCGCUGCGACGCAGGAACCACUUUCUCACCGAGAUUCUCCAUCAUCACUCAUACAAUGGGAGGGAUACAGGAGCAUAGGUAGGGAUACAGAGGCAGACAGACAGAGGCGUGAUGCUCACACUUAGCCGUGGGGACAUUUACCCCCUCAUCAAUGCCUUGCUAAACUUUCCCCCACCCUUGGUUCUUUUUGACCGGGAUUGCGCGGAGCAGUCAGUAAUGCCAACUCCCUAAUCGCACACCUUAUUCUACUCCUCCCUCCUAUUUCCCCCCCUAAAAGCCGAAUGUUGCCUCUAUACAGUGAGCGAUGCUGCAGGAACGGGGGCCGAAGUGCCAAUAGAUCCUGUUGAAUUGAGACAAGACGUCGAGACGCAGCCAAAAAAAAAGUGUCAUCUCCAGAGUGCGUCAGAGCACGGAUGUAUAUACUGGAUGUGGAUUUUGGUCGCUGGUUGGACACGACGAAGGAUUUGGGUAUUUUAACGUCCAGAAAUUCUAACAGGAAUUUGAGGAAACAUGUGCAUCCUCGCCUCCUAUUUCUUCUCCUCCUCCUCCAGCGGAUUUGUUUUGGGUGUUGAGGCGGUUUGAUUUGGCACCUUUUCAAAUGAUCUGCUGUAAACAUGAGGAAUAAAAGUAAUUCUGCUUAACCGGGAGUCUACAAUACGGCAGACAAUAUUUUUUGUACCAUUUUUUCUUUUGCUUUUCCUCUUAUUUUUGGAUCCCAGCACAUGAGAAUGGCAUCAUCGGGUGACCACGGCAGAGCCAAGGACGCAUUUAGGCGCCGAUCUCUGGGAAAAUAACCACCUGAUGGGCUCCGGAGAAGCCGCGGACAGACUGCUUUGGUGUAGCUUGUUGACUCGGUGAUUUAUAAUGCUGUGCAUAUAGAGGAGGGGGGGCUGCAACUUUUGUCAGAGCGUCUGCGUAACAGGCUAUUCCACCGGCCUCUGGAUUUUUUUUUUUGUGAUGCUAAUGAUGUCAUGCAAUCCUAGAGUGUUUGUACCAACAUGAGAAGAUGGGGCUUCAUAACCCCCAUUAUGUGAGUAGCUUCACUGAACCUGAAGCAGACAGAUGUUUCUUGACCUGACCAUCUGAUUGAUCAGAACGGUUCAUGCCUUAUUCACCCUCCCUGCGCGCGCCGGGCUCCAACUUUUCUCCUCUGCUGUGCGUCCACAUCACCUUGAGGCGUUUUAUAUAGCGCUCAGACAGACUUAAAAUGGAGUUUGCUAUGGUGGGCGCGGAUGGCGGGUGCAACAGUCACCUGCCGUACGGAUAUGCCCAAGCACGGGCGCGUGAGAGGGAGCGCGAGAGGGAGCGUCAGGCUGCUCAGUCCAGAGCGGCGGCUGCUGCGGCGGCGACCGACGGGGGCCCUGCUGCGGAGGGAGGAGGAGGAGGCGGCCAUGGAGGGGGGUCCAUCUCCACCACCACCUCCUCGAGCGCUCAUCUCCUUAACAACCGCCAGCAUCAGUCUCGCGCCGCCUCCUCCUCAACGAGCGCCAACAUCAGCAGCGGCGCCGCCUCGCGCCCCUCCUCCUCCUCCUGGCACCAGCAGGAUCCCGAGCAGCAGCAGCAGAGAGUUCUCAGAGAGCGGAAAAAGCAGCGCGGCGUCGGACGGUGGAGACGCAACCGGGGGACUCUCGGCGGAGACCUGCGCCACUCGGAGCUGGCGCUGCUCGGAUCGGAGGAGGACAUCAUGAUAGAGGAGGAGGAGGAGGAGGAGGAGGAGGCUGAGGGAGCAGAGGAGGAGGAAAAGGAGCAGCAGGGGGGCCGGGGAGACAAGAGGUCCAGCUUUCUGUGCAACAUGGACGAGGAUGAGGAGACCGUGUCGAUCACGGACAGGCGGCCCCAGUCCGGGUACGAGAACGCCUACAGUGAGUGCGGCUGCUGCGAGAGGGUCGUCAUCAACGUGUCGGGUCUGAAGUUUGAAACUCAGCUUAAGACUCUCUCUCAGUUCCCGGACACGCUGUUGGGAGAUCCCGACAAGCGCAUCCGAUACUUCGACCCGCUCAGGAACGAGUACUUCUUCGACCGGAACCGGCCGAGUUUUGACGCCAUUCUUUACUAUUACCAGUCAGGGGGGAGACUAAAAAGACCCGCCAACGUCCCGUUUGACAUCUUCUCCGAGGAGGUGAAGUUCUACGAACUCGGAGAGGAGGCGAUCCUGAAGUUUCGGGAGGAUGAGGGCUUCGUGAAGGAGGAGGAGAAGCCUCUGCCGGAGGACGAGUUCAAGCGUCAGAUCUGGCUGCUGUUCGAGUACCCGGAGAGCUCCAGCCCUGCCCGGGGGAUCGCCGUGGUGUCCGUGCUGGUCAUCGUCAUCUCCAUAGUCAUUUUCUGCCUGGAGACGCUGCCAGAGUUCAGGGAUGAGAAGGAGUAUCUGCAGCCGCGGGACAACUCCUCUGAGCCCGACCACGGAUUUACGCCCUUCAACGACCCCUUUUUCAUCGUGGAAACCGUUUGCAUCAUCUGGUUCUCCUUUGAGUUUAUAGUUCGCUUCUUUGCGAGUCCCAGCAAGACCGCUUUCUUUAAAAACAUCAUGAACUCCAUAGAUAUUGUCUCCAUUUUGCCUUACUUCAUCACCCUAGGCACGGAUCUGGCGCAGCACCAGGGCAACGGCCAGCAGGCGAUGAGUUUCGCUAUUCUGAGAAUAAUUCGCCUCGUCCGGGUGUUUCGCAUCUUCAAACUGUCCAGGCACUCCAAGGGGCUGCAGAUCCUGGGUCACACCCUGCGCGCCAGUAUGAGGGAGCUGGCCCUUCUCAUCUUCUUCCUAGUUAUAGGUGUCAUUCUUUUCUCCAGCGCGGUGUACUUCGCCGAGGCGGACGAGCCCACCUCUCAGUUCACGAGCAUCCCCGACGCGUUCUGGUGGGCCGUGGUCACCAUGACGACGGUGGGCUACGGAGACAUGAAGCCCAUCACCGUAGGUGGGAAGAUAGUGGGCUCCCUCUGCGCGAUUGCGGGUGUGUUAACCAUCGCGCUCCCGGUGCCUGUCAUAGUGUCCAACUUCAAUUACUUCUACCACAGGGAGACCGACAACAACGAGGACCAGACACCUGUGGUGGAGAGCAUGCCUCCAGGAUGUCCGUAUUUCCCCGACUUUCUAAGGAAAUUCAAAGGCUCGCCCUCGGGCUCCUCGCUGGGGGAUAAAGCGGAGUACAUGGAGAUGGAGGAAGGGCUGACGGAAUCGCUAUGCGGGUUGGACAAGAGCCCCAGUAAAGGAAACGGCACAGACAUAAGCAGAAAAAACAGCACUAACUCUAAAUCUAUUCAGACAGACGUGUGAUUUUUUCUGAAAAGACAUUUUUUGCCCAGCAUCAGGUGACUACCCCUCAACUUUUACGCUCCAUUCAACCCCUCUUACGCACUCAUCCACCCCUUUCACAGUGGCAGGAAAAUGCUCCAUUCUUUUUCUUUUUUCCUCAACACCAACUUCAGAACCAUAUUGUAUCAUCUGAGCUGCGGGCUUCCAACUCUAACAUCUAAGUCCAGUUCCACAGAAGAGACAGGCUAUGCAUUCGCACUUUAUGAGUUUUUUUGUCACAUCCGAGGGGUAGGGACGAUCAUUUUGCUGUUAUGCAAUAAAGUUAUCAUUUGUUUGCACUAAAUUAGUAUCUGCGCUGGGUUUGGGGCAAGUUCCUGUAGAGACAGAAAACUGUAGGCCAUGCUGGCAACAUUUUAGGAAUAACUUUACGGAAAAAUGUUAGAGAAACUUCUAAAAAAGCAAAGUAACAUAGAAAACAACAGCGUUUAAACCCUACCAAACUGUACUCCAUUGAAGAAGAAAAUAAGACAGAAGAACUACCUUUAUCUCUGUUCCAACACUUAAAAUAUGAAUAUAUAUCCAUAAUUGUUAUAUAUCUUUCUAAAGAGGCUUUAUUUUAAAUGAGUCAGGGCUACAUUGAGAUACGUAGUUUAAAAAAAAAAUCCCCUUCCUAUCCUAAACUAAAGUAAAUCAUCACCAUGACAAGAGUUAAGCACAUUCAUCAUCAUUUAUGGCUGGAGAAAUGACUCGUUGCAGGUCAUCUGGACAUUUUUGGAGCCUUGAGACAAACCCCUCCCCACCUUUUUUUUUUUUACAUUUUCCUCCACUUUCAUUCAAACCACCUCAAAGUGACAGUAUCCCUUUACAAGAUGGAAGAUUAUAGCAAAAACGACUGUUGUGGAAAAUUCUUCAAGGAGAGUUUACGCGCAAUUUUUUUUCUCAAGUCAAUGCACAAGCGUACAUGGCUCAGAAAACCAGCGGAAUAAGGAUGUCUUCCAAGUGCUGCCAGUAACAAGAAGUGAACAAGAACCCCGCCCCCCACCCCCCAUCCCCCAACGUCUCUGGAAACCGAAGAGAACAAGCAAAACAUUGCGACCAGUCGACUUCGGCGCAAGCGGACUCUGCAAAGCGUCAGCUGGACGGGACUUUGGAAACUUUUGUGAGGAGAUCAAAGCUGCUGUUCUGUCUCAGUGGACAAACCUACAAGUGUUGAGACUGGAGGUGGCAGAGAGUAAGUUGUGACCCCAAAAUGAUUGCCUUAAUUGCUACAAAUACAGACGUAAGAAGCGACAAUAUCGAGAGACUUAUAAGAACUUAAAGAUGUUUUCUUUAUAUGUGAAAAAAAGUGUUAUGUAUGGAACAGAUGUGAAUAUUUUAAUAAGAUAGAGAUAACGUUUGGUUGUAUUGUCAACAUGUUUUAGUUGGGUCGGCUUUGUGUCAUUGGUUCUUAAACGGUGAGGCUGCUCUGCUUUUAUGCAGCACUUUUUACCUUGUUUCAUACUUCCAGCCUCACCAAGGCUGGCCUCUGUUGUUUAAUCAAAUGCUGGCAAAAAAAAAACACAUUGAUUCUCCAUCAUAGCACCUAAAAAUCCUUAUUCAGACAAUGCAUGAAUGAUUGGGGGACCCUUUCUGGUUUAAUGCAGCUCUCAGAUGAAGAACAUAGUUUCCUCCUACAUUACGAUCCACUUACACUUAAGCAAAGAUGUCAGGAACAUAAACAUCCAUCACACAGACCUGCCACCUUCACUCUCUACCAUAAACAACUGGCAGACAAAAAUGGAACAUAAAGACGAAAGAACUUUUAAUGUUAUUGUUUUUUUUCCACAGAUGCAAAUUUAGAGCCGACCAGCUGCUUUGUUGAUAUGUUUUCACUCUAAAUUUACCUGUAUGCAAAAGUAACAUGGACGUGUGUUCUAUAUUUUUUUAAACCUAGCCUUGAUAAUUACAUAACCAAAGGUGAAACCCUGAGUUUAUUGUAAGUUGUGGACUUCUGGAAAAUGUUGUGACAUAGAUGCACAUCGAAUAGGGAGAAAAAAAUGUAAAUAUCAGACAUUUAUACUUGUGCGUCCGAAGAUGUGUUUCAGAUAGAGUAAUUUGAGACUUUUUACUUUCUUUGACUGUUAGAACCAUCAACCAUAAGGAUCUGUAUUUGGUUUGUCCACGCAGAUACAAUCAUGUUCUUAUUGUUAUGACUGCUGCUCCGACGUUCCUCAUGAUCAUCAUGUUUUUGGAAAUGUCAUUUUCUUUUACCUGUUUUUGUUUGGUUGUUUUUGUUUUUUGUUUUUUACAUAUUUCUAAAUCCCCGUUAAAAUUUUACCAUCUGGUUUGUUGUGCUCUGUCAGAAACUAAAAUGCUGCUGUUGUUUGCGCAGCCUUGUUGGAGAAACGUGGACUUUUCUUAUGCUACAUUCACACCGACCUUGGCAACACGCGGUGAACCAACCACUUUAAAUAAACAUCCGGUGUAAAUACGCAGAUGAGCAUUUUUAGCUUCUGAGUUUAAAGCUUUCGCAUUCACGCGUUCGCAACCAAAUUUUUAAGAUCGUUUUUGGCUCCAUGUACAAAAGGCGCUGCAAUUGUACAUAGUGAAGUAUGGAUGCCGUCCUUUUUAAUUGGCGAAAGGUGCCAACUGUUUGAAAAUUGAUCAAGUAGGAGAAAUCAAUAACUGCGGUUUGUGUCCUGCCGGAAUUCUACGACACCAGGGUUUUCAUUAAUCCGAAUAGAGCUGUUAAAGAAAAACAUUCACGAGAUCUGCGCCGCUUCAGCAUUUCGCAAUAAUGUUGGUACAUGCGCUAGUAGCGAUAGUCAAUUGUAAACACCAUAUGAUAAAUGCGGGUUUAGUAUAACAAGAACCCGCUUUUCUAGAAUGCGUGUCACAUUCUUGGUGUGAACGUAGCAUUACAUAUAUUAGAACAGCUAUGUUUCCUUUCAAUGAAAUGUUUGAAAUGUCGACUGACAUGCCAGUAGUAGUAAGUGAUCUCUUAUAUUUUUAUGAAGACGGUGUUUUAUUUUCCUAAAUAUUUUACUUUCAGAACACUAUUUACAUUGUUUGCUAUAAUAGCACCUAAAGGCUUGAAUCUAGAGUUUUCUUUUCUAUGUGUGUUGGAGAAAAUCCAAAGUUGGCAUUCUUUAAUGAUUUGCUUCCCUUAAUACCUCAUAAAUGGUAUUCUUCUAAAAAAAUGUUUCAGUGUUCCAAAUUUUUCCUUAGUGUCCAACGUUUACUGAUCAAUAUUUAGCUUUGCAUAGAUGUCAGGAGGACUUGUUCAGGGUCCCCAACAGUAGCUGGGUUGGCUCCAGCAACCCGUGACCCCGAAAGGCAUUCAGCGGGAUCUGGAGAUGGAUGGAUGGAUGGAUGGAUGGAUGGAUGGAUGGAUGGAUAGAUGUCAGGAGCUUCUUGAGGAAGGUUGUUGGAAGUUGAAAAAAUGAUAGUCAAUGCCAAAUACAUGCUAUUCCGAUAUAUUUUACUGAUAACUUGGUUAAAAACUCAUACAACAACAAAUAUGAGGUUUAAGCUGCAGCCAUAUGAAAAACUAAGGUGUUUAUCCAGACAUAAAAAUAUCCAAAGCUGGAUAGGUUCAAAUGUUUUCCCACCACUUCCUGUCGUUACACCUCUGAAUGUGCACAGAUUGCAAAAACAAGAUAUAACACCCUUAAUGGAUGAGUUUUAGAUGUGCUGGCAGGCUGAGACAGAGCCAGGCCAAAUACUUCCCCAUUUACAGCUCCUGAGCUAAAACCGGUUUGUUAUUGAGCGUAUUACUGCAUAUUCACACCACUGACGUAGCAGUUUGAAUACAAAAAAAAGGAAAGUUAUUAUACUCACGUCAAGCAAUAUUUUCCAGUGGUGGAUUAAAGGAAAACAUAGUCAGUGUGAAAAAAAUACAUCCCCUGGAAUGAUUUUGUUACACUGAUCUUGUCAGAUUACGUGCCUGAAGCACAAGCUGUGCCACGCUCGCAGCGCUCCAUCAGCAGAGGCCUCAUCAGUCUGGGGGCUGUCGAGUCGGAGGGGGGAGUUUGACCCAGGGACUUUAAUCUGAACAUGAGCUCACAGGGUGUUUACAGACCUGAGAUGUAGCUGCAGAACUAAUCAUACAGACAUUAAAUGGUGGUUGGAAGUCUGCCACGGCUGUACGUUAAUGAGGGACAAAUUAGUCAGCCUCAAAGAUGCAGUGGAAAAGGAUAACAUGCCACUGGGUUAGCAGAUACUACAACCGCCUAAGAACUGAUACUGGAAGGAACUGUGACCAGUCAAGGAGAACACUUCAGGACACCUCCAGACAGUUUCUUUAGUCUAUGCAUUAAAAUAAUUUAUGAGGAGGACACUGAGACAGCUGUAAUCACUGGAGCAGGAGGAACCAAUUAAAAGGCCAUGUAAAGAAGAACGAGGCUAAAAAAAGGUCAAGGCUGUACACGCUGAGGGUGAACGAAAAAGAACAAGACAGAAAACAGCGCUGUGAGCUGGGUCAAAUAAAUACACGGAAUAAAAUCCUUCAGAGAUGCAUCUAAGGAGUGUCAUGAGCCAAACUCAAAAUAAAACACCAGAACAGUUUUAGGUUUUUACCUGUGAAAUGUGCUACAGAUAUUCAUUGAAAGCUGAAAUCAGCCCCUUUCUACAGCUCACAACUUAGCAGUCGUUUUGUCUGGGCAUCAGUCAAGUAUAAAACAAUAAGUGAGUCCAUCUGCAGCAGUUUUAGUUAGGCAUUUGGGUUGUAUGGUAGCCCUGAAGUGCCAAUCCCAUUAACAACUCUGGAAACUGGAAAAGGUAGAUACAAUGGGACAUUGCUGAUUGGAUGAUGAUGUUUGAUUUUUGAUGUUUGAGUUUUUUGUCUGCAUACUAACAAAAUGUUGGAAUUAGUACAGAGAAUAUCCAUUUACGCUUCAUGCCAAGUAACCUUCGGUAGAAAUGAUGGACAAACACCGUCAUCCAAUCAACGUACCUACAUACAUAGUACCUACCUUUUCCUUUUCCUUUUUGGAAAUUACUAUUUGUUUUCUGAAACAUUUCAUUUUUAUUUUGUUUUAUCGUUGGAUUUGUGUUUUAAUGAUGAUGAAAAGAGAAAAGUUUAAAAAGUGAUUUCAAAACGAACUUAACCUAAGCUUGAGAAAAUACAGUAGUAUAAUAAAUAUACUUCAGACUUUUACUUAUAUAUUGUACCAAUUGGUACAAAUAAGAUCCAGAUAAGAUACGUUAUUCUCUUUUCCAGAAAUUCAAUUUUUUCAGAUUUGUGUUAAAAUAAACAAAGAGUUUUAAGAAAUCUGAAGUUGUAACAAACUGCAUCUAUUCAAGUAAUAAAAUGUGUGACCAAAGAAUCAGAGAAAUGCUAGAUUAUUUCUGCCAGACUGCAUUUAACUUGAUGUAAUUACAAACUAAAAUCUUGUAUUUGUUGUGAAAUUCUCAGUGUUGAAGAACAGCAGGGACAUUUGGAUCGUCCUAAUCUCGUUAUAAAGCUGUACAGUGUGAGAAAAGCUGCAAAACCCUUGGACAGUGACGCAGUUUGCAUUUUUGAUUUAUUAUUUGCGAGUGAUAUUAUGUGCCUGACUGGAUUUGGUGGGGAUUUUCACCAUCUGUGUCCCUCACAACAGUAUUAGUACUUGAAUAAAAGAUUAUUUUGUGCAUGAAACUGAAUACUUGACGUCAAAACUUGAGCAGACGUGGACAAAUAUCUUGGCGCCCCUGUAUUGAUGAGAGAAAAACCUGCACUAGUCACUGGAACGAGAAACGCGCAAAUGUACCAGUAAUCAAAUCAAUUGUUGAAAAUCAGAUAUUGGUUUUGAACUGAUGGUCAUCAGAAAAGGUUAAAAACUAAUUUGACCACAGAAACAUAUUAAACUGACGCCUUAGUCACGAAUGCCCUUAUGAGUGGAUACGGGCUGUCUGUAGGGGAAAAAUAGGCAAACCUGUACAGGAUACGAAGGUGGUCCGAACAAAAUUUUCAAGAUCCUAGACCGCUUGGUGGGCCCAUAAACCAAUAAUGUUCAUUCACAUCUCUUUCUACGGGCAUGCUGCAGCCAACAGGUUGUAGUGAACAAGAUGUAAGGGUUUGUAAAGUUGAAGUAGGUGAAAGUGGGUGUGUGCGUGUUAUUUUAUGGGCGGUGCUGGCAAACUGGAUGGAAAACUCUGGACCUCGAAGUACCUGUACCGGUGUGUCUGUAUGAUUUCCAGGAAUCCAAGCCCUACACAUAACUGAUUACCUGGUUCGGGUCUGUCCAGCCAAUCACAUCAGGGCAUAGCAGGGUGUGUUGGAAAACACGCAUGAAUGCAGGCCUCAAGGCCUGGAGUUUCCCAUUCCUGAGCUAAACUGUGCCGCUUGGAUAACAAACCCUUCUAACACAAGACAGUAGGAGCAUUUUACCAAUGAGGAGUGAACCAAAAUAGCGGUUAAAAGGUACAGAAGUUGGGAUGACACUUGCAGAAAUAUUUUUCCUGCAUAGAAUUUGUGUAAAGGAAUAUUUAUCUACACAUUCACUCUGACGCUGAACACUGCGAAUAUUACUUUGUCAGUGAUAUUUCAGUCCCCAUUCCUACCAAUCCUGUCUACGUCUGCUUUUAUUAAAACAUUAUUUGUUCAUUUUUCUUACAAUGGAUUUCAUUAUUUUUAAAUCAUAAUUGAAAGUCUUUCAAAUAAUAGCAAAAUUAAAAAAAUGCAUUAAUUUGGAAGAUCGUAAUAUGUUUGGGCUACUCUGAGAAUUACAGAGGAGUGGAGUGUUUUAGGGAGAGGUCAAUGAUGAGAUUCCACUAGCAGUAUGGAACUAUGUUGGCAAAGUGCAGGGAGUGGUUGGUAAAAGAAAAAAACAACAACAUUAAAGCAACGAACAACACACCCAUAAGAAACAUUUUGUGUUCACAGCACCUUCCAUUGCACAAGACUGGAUGAACAAGUGCUGACUGCCAACUUUUUCCACCUCUUUGAAAAUGUUAUGUCAACCCUCCUUUAUCAAAGUGUCAAAUACCAGGAACUUCACGCAAAGAGAAAACUAAAUCUGAUGAAGCUAUAUUUAAAGUCCCACUCCGAUCAUCUUUUGCUCUAUUUUAAAAGCAUUCCCAAUGUUUGUUUGUGUUUUUUUCCAAUUGUGAUGAUGCUGUUUUUAGCCACAAUCAAAAAACCUAUGUCUAGAACAUAGUUUCUGCAGAGCGACAGUAGUUCAUUAGAAAAUCCCCUCUGUGUUUUAGGAAGGACUCCUGCCUCCACUUCCCAUCAUCCAUCAGGAAACACGUUAGCUUACAGCUCCUCACAACUAAAAAGAAAUGCUUACCGAUGCAAUUGUUUUGAUCCAGAUGCAGGCUCAGGCAAGGAAAAUUAAAACAGACAUGGGUGUAUUUGUCUGCAGGUGGAUGCAUCGGAAUGUUGUGGAGUGGGGAGCUUGUGGCUUGCCAAUGUAGGUCCUAUGUCACUGCAUUUUUUCCUGAGUCAACGCGAUUUGAAUAAAGAAAUACUCAGAAAUUAAGAUUAAAUUUUCUUUAUAUAUGUCCUCCAUCAUCAGAAAAAUGCAAUAAGAACAUGUUAAAAACACUAUUUAGUUGUGGGUCAUAACAUUAUUUUUCUAACUGGCUAAAUCAUCAUAAAUUUAUUUACUAAGUUAGCAGAAACAAGCAGGAGUUGCCAUCCCAAAAGAAAACACCAGAAUUCUUUUUGGAUCAUGCACGGCUCUGAAUGCUCUGGGGGGGCUUGAUAGGUGACAUAAUGUGUCUUGUCACUUUUGGCUUUGAGGACCUUAAAGCACAUCGCCCCGAAACAUAAGAAAACACCAAGCUGCAACACAUUUAAAAAAGUAAAAGCUCAAAAAUGUGAGUUUGAGAACCACAAACUUGUGUUUGUUUGUUUUUUCAGUAACAGCAUGGUCCCUUAUGCUGCCUGUGUGCUCAGAAAAUGAAGCAACUCUUCAACAGUGAUAAGUGGAAUGAUUUUAUUUUGUAAAAUAAACAUAAACUUGUUCAUCUAAAUAAAAAAAGGGAAAUAAAUUGAUGAAUUUUUGAUCCAGAUCAGUCCAGUAAGAGUUUCAUUAACCGACGGUGUGGGGCAAAAUAAAUCUCCUCUUAAUAAGGGAAAUUAGUUGAGAAACUAAGGAAAUGUAAUUGUGACUAUCAUCCAGUGGGCAAAUUGUUGUUUUUUAUUUUUGACUCUAAAACUAAUUUGACAUUUGGAUUUUUUACCCUGGAACUUUCAAAUAUCAAAAAUAGUGACACAUGAGUAUAACAAAUUAGAAUCUUAAUCUAAACACAAAAGCAUAAAGCAUUGUUACAGGUUUAUUUACAAUAUUCAGAUGGUUUAAAUCUAAAACUAUGAUUCUAAGAUCUGUUCAGUUGGAUAUUGAUGGAGGUAUUUAUUAUUAUUAUCAUGUAUUAGUAUUAUUUUGGGACAAAGGAAGUGGUGGUUGAUCUAUUUGUUACAAUGGUAUUACUUCAGUUCACCCAAUGUUUGACCACAACAACAUAGAAAUCGCAUCACCAAGCAGCAAAAGGAAGACGCUGGUAAAUAUUAUCAGACAUGUAAAAAUAUAUUUCUUCACCACAGAUGUUGAGAUAUAUACAUGUGGGCAGCCUUGCAUUUUAUUCUGCAUGAUGCGUUGUUUUGAGAAAUAUGCAUCCUAACCUAAGAUAUGUUUGUACUUUUCUCCGCCAAGGGUGCUCCUCUUCCUUUCCUCCUCUCUUUCUCUGUAUCUUUGGGGCUUUGUCACUUUUCACCCUAAUUCUAUGUUGUUGGUUAUUUUUUUGUGUUGUUUUUUUGUCCUUUGUUUUGUUUUUGGUAAACCUUACAACUUCUGGAUUUUCUACAUUCAUAAUCUUUUGUAGACAGCAAUAUGAGAUGUGAUUCAAAAUGGAAUAUGUGCAAUGUUGAUAAAAGAAAAAUAUAAUAUAUUAAAUAAAAAUUC